rnacentral:ncRNA from 1 species
AUUGCGCGGUGAAUAGUUGAUAAAGGCAAAGCCCCGGGUCUGGUCGAUGACAUGGAACAGCGGGUUCCAUGAAAACAUGUGCAGCAGAAAGUUGGGCAUCAUGUUAGCGACGAACAUCUUGCCGGAAAAUACCAUGUUCAGGCGCUG